AAGACUCUGGAGGGCGUGAUGCUGCCCCUUUCUCUGUACCGACUUAGAGGGCGAGUGCAGUCGAGUUGGUUGAGCGCUAUUAAGCACAUGUGGUGUGUGUUGUCCCGUCUGUUGCUGGAAUCCAGGUUUAGUUCUUUCCCAGCCCGGACCUAGAGGACAGUCCUUGAGCGGGUCUGUUUCUGAUCCUUAGAGAAAAGCAAUUUGUGCAGGCAACCAUUGAAUCCACUUCCCACUAGCGUUGCGUUCUUCGUGUUCUAGUUUCUUGGAUAUCUCCUUUCAUGCUUGUCUCGGCUAAAUCUUCUGUUCGGUUACUACAAAUUUGUAUCGAUAUUUGAUAUCUUGUUCGCUCCAAAGCAGAACGGUUUCAAGUUCAAUUGAUUCUGCUUCCAUGUUUUUAUCUUUCUUUUUUUUUGCCAUGGAACUAUGUUCUUAUAGGUCUUAUAGUUUGUUUAUCACAUAUUGUAAGCUUCAACAAUUCAUUUCUGAAAUGAUAUUUACCAUUUAGCAAAAAAAAGAAAUAUUGAAGCUGUAAAUUGUAAUGGAUGCUUUUCAUACCGCCUUUAGCUUGUCUCCUAAAUGUUGUGGAAUCUUUUAUAAUCUCCUAUAUAUUAAUUAUGGAACAUUAUAACAUGUUUUCGUAGCCACGUGUCAGCAAUAGGAUGAUUCUUAAAACUUUAAAAAAAAAAUUUGGUCCGUAUAAAU
rnacentral:lncRNA from 1 species